rnacentral:rRNA from 1 species
CGGAGGUGGCAAGCGUUGUUCGGAAUUACUGGGCGUAAAGGGCGCGUAGGCGGCUAGGCAAGUCAGGUGUGAAAGCCCCGGGCUUAACCCGGGAAUUGCAUCUGAAACUGCUGUGCUUGAGUUCUGGAGGGGGUAGUGGAAUUCCCAGUGUAGCGGUGAAAUGCGUAGAUAUUGGGAGGAACACCUGCGGCGAAGGCGGCUACCUGGACAGAAACUGACGCUGAGGCGCGAAAGCUAGGGGAGCGAACGGGAUUAGAUACCCCGGUAGUCCUAGCUGUAAACGAUGGGCACUUGGUGUUGGGGGUAUUGAGUCCCCCAGUGCCGGAGUUAACACGUUAAGUGCCCCGCCUGGGGAGUACGGUCGCAAGACUG